rnacentral:rRNA from 1 species
GAUGAACGCUAGCGGCAGGCCUAACACAUGCAAGUCGAGGGGCAUCAUGGCGUAGCAAUACGCUGAUGGCGACCGGCGCACGGGUGCGUAACGCGUAUGGAACCUACCCACCGCAGGGGGAUAACCCGCCGAAAGGCGGACUAAUACCCCAUGGUUCCCCGACCCUGCCUGGGGUUGGGGGUAAAGCCUACGGGCGGCGGUGGAUGGCCCUGCGUGCCAUUAGCUGGCUGGCGGGGUAACGGCCCACCAGGGCGACGAUGGCUAGGGGGUCUGAGAGGACGAUCCCCCACACUGGGAUUGAGAUACGGCCCAGACUCCUACGGGAGGCAGCAGUCGAGAAUAGUCUACAAUGGCCGGAAGGCUGAUAGUGCGACGCCGCGUGAACGAGGGAGCCCUUCGGGUGUAAAGACUCUUCGGCUGGGAAGAAAUACGCAUCUCCUAAUACGGGGUGUGGGAUGACGGUACCAGCAUAAGAAGCACCGGCUAACUACGUGCCAGCAGCCGCGGUAAACAUA